CGCAAGACGGUGUUUUACAACCUUAGAUCUCCCUCCCCCAAAGUAAUAAAUAGCCAGGGUCUAGGUGAGGUGAAGUGCAAUAAGAAAAAGUAAAUAUGGAACAUGAGAUGUCUGUUUUACUCAGCCUUUGCAUGUGUCAGACUGAAAUUUCAGAAAACGUCACCAAACUUCCAAAAAGCAUCCCCAGUAAGAAAGACGGACUUGAGACCCGGUGAAGAAAACCAAUGGGAGAAUCCUGCCUCUGCUCUGAAGCCUUUCUGUUCGCUCCAGUGAAAAUUAGUCAUCCACCGGGCGCGGUGGCUCACGCCUGCAAUCCCAGCACUUUGGGAGGCCGAGAUUCUCCUCAACCAUGAUGAAUAAUGCCUGGGAGAGGGGAAGAAGUAAUGGAAGCCUGCACGGGUGGCCCCAAGGCAGGCAGUCCUUGGACUCCCUGGACUGCGGCUGUCCUUGACCUCACUGCUGGGGCAUGUAAAAGGAACGACUCAGAGUCUAACAGGCCACAGUCUGGGCUUGAUGUUCACCGAUUUUCCCUCAGCUCCGACUGUGGCUCCUCUCAGCUGACUCUGACCCUGCUCUCAGCCGGGCUGCAUCUGCCCAUCUCAGCACAUCAAUAAACAGCAGAGGGAAACUACCACCUUGGAAGGAGCCAGGCAGUUUCUGCUGGGUAGGCCGCAGCCUGGAACAUGGAAGUAGCUUCUUCCAUCCUACACUGGAAACCACCCAGCAUCCCGGGCCCUCCAGAGAAGAGCCAGACUCCCUUCCCUGGGAAGAGACUAUAGUCCUAUCUGUAUCCUCCGUGGUCAUUGCCCCUCAGUCACAGCAAUGAAGAGCAAAUUACCUGUUUUCUGUAUGUUCCUCUGACAACAACUGCCACAGAGUAAAUAUGAAAGGUUCU
rnacentral:lncRNA from 1 species